ACGAACGCUGGCGGCAUGCCUAAUACAUGCAAGUCGAGCGAACAGAUGAAGUGCUUGCACUUCUGACGUUAGCGGCGAACGGGUGAGUAACGCGUAAGGAAUCUACCUAUAAGCGGGGGAUAACAUUCGGAAACGGGUGCUAAUACCGCAUAAUAUCUUCUUCCGCAUGGAAGAAGAUUGAAAGACGGCUCUGCUGUCACUUAUAGAUGACCUUGCGGUGCAUUAGUUAGUUGGUGGGGUAACGGCCUACCAAGACGAUGAUGCAUAGCCGACCUGAGAGGGUGAUCGGCCACAUUGGGACUGAGACACGGCCCAAACUCCUACGGGAGGCAGCAGUAGGGAAUCUUCCGCAAUGGGCGAAAGCCUGACGGAGCAAUGCCGCGUGAGUGAAGAAGGCCUUCGGGUCGUAAAACUCUGUUAUAAGAGAAGAACAAAUUGUAGAGUAACUGCUACAGUCUUGACGGUAUCUUAUCAGAAAGCCACGGCUAACUACGUG
rnacentral:rRNA from 1 species